AGAGUUUGAUCCUGGCUCAGAACGAACGCUGGCGGCGUGCUUAACACAUGCAAGUCGCGUGCGCAGUCCCUGUAGCAAUACAGGGAUGGGCGCACGGCGCACGGGUGCGUAACACGUGGGCAAUCUGCCCUCCGAUGGGGAAUAACCCCGCGAAAGCGGGGCUAAUUCCGCAUAACAUUCCUUGGACUCACGUUCGAGGAUUCAAAGCAGCAAUGCGUCGGAGGAGGAGCCCGCGCCCGAUUAGCUAGUUGGUGAGGUAACGGCUCACCAAGGCAAUGAUCGGUAGCUGGUCUGAGAGGAUGGCCAGCCACACUGGAACUGAGACACGGUCCAGACUCCUACGGGAGGCAGCAGUGGGGAAUCUUGCACAAUGGGCGAAAGCCUGAUGCAGCGACGCCGCGUGGGGGAUGAAGCUUUUCGGAGUGUAAACCCCUUUCGCCUGGGACGAAUGCCCGCAAGGGAGUGACGGUACCAGGAUAAGAAGCCCCGGCUAACUACGUGCCAGCAGCCGCGGUAAGACGUAGGGGGCCAGCGUUGUUCGGAAUUACUGGGUGUAAAGGGUUCGUAGGCGGUGCGGCAAGUUGGGAGUGAAAUCUCUGGGCUCAACCCAGAGGCUGCUUCCAAAACUGCUGUGCUUGAGUGUGAGAGAGGCUCGUGGAAUUGCAGGUGUAGCGGUGAAAUGCGUAGAUAUCUGCAGGAACACCCGUGGCGAAAGCGGCGAGCUGGAUCACUACUGACGCUGAGGAACGAAAGCUAGGGGAGCAAACAGGAUUAGAUACCCUGGUAGUCCUAGCCCUAAACGAUCAGGACUUGGGGUGCCGCCCGUUCGGGCGUCGUCCCGGAGCUAACGCGUUAAGUCCUGCACCUGGGGAGUACGGUCGCAAGACUGAACUCAAAGGAAUUGACGGGGCCCGCACAAGCGGUGGAACAUGUGGUUCAAUUCGACGCUACGCGAGGAACCUUA
rnacentral:rRNA from 1 species